rnacentral:lncRNA from 1 species
GUUGAAGCUCAAGUUUGCAGGCCUAGUGGCAAAAUCAUAGGAAAGAAACCUCCUCAUGGAAAAUGCAACACGGAGGACGACUCCGAUUGUUGCUUUAAAGGCAAGAUCUACACAACUUACAAGUGCUCACCCCAAGUGUCUAGCCACACCAAGGCAGUUCUAACCCUCAACAGCUUCGAGAAGGGAGGGGAUGGCGGCGGUCCAUCAGAAUGUGACAAGAAGUAUCACUCUGAUGACAGACCAAUUGUUGCACUAUCAACCGGCUGGUUCAACAGAAAAUCCAGGUGCCUCAACAACAUUACUAUAAGUGCUAAUGGGAGGAGUGUGGUGGCAAUGGUUGUCGAUGAAUGCGACUCGACGAUGGGAUGCGAUGAAGUCCAUGAUUAUCAGCCUCCAUGCGCUGACAAUAUUGUUGAUGCCUCAAGAGCAGUUUGGGAAGCAUUGGGAGUUCCGAAAAACGACUGGGGAUAUAUGGAUAUUACUUGGGCUGAUGCUU